GGCUUGGUGGGCGCCAUCUUCCUACAACAAUUAUUUGAUUUCUUACUUUCUCUCUUUUCUUUUCUUUUUUUUCCCUCUUCUCAGAUUUUUGUGGACGCGGAGCGGCGGCGGUGCGCUGCGCCCUGACAGCAAUGCGUCAUGGAGCGUGGAAACAACGGGUGGUGGAGGCGAAGGCAGGGACGGGGCUGCAGCAGCAGAGGCAUGCCAAGCGGAGUGAGGGGGGAACCCGGGGUGGAUGCCUCUCAGAUCACCGCCGUCUCUCCACCCCUCGUCCUUCUGUCUCUCUCCACGCACGCACAGCUUCGGCUUUUUUGGCACUACAGAGGAAUUUCCCGCUUGCGCUCCGGAGGAAGAAAGGAAGGAAGGAAAAAAAGAGGCAAACAGAGGCGUCAAUUCUUUACAUUCUCGCCGCCACUGCAGCGCCUGUAUCCCCGUUAAAAUCCCCGCGGCGGAGCGUCUCUCGCCGGUCAGAGUCUGUGUGGCUUUCGGAGCAUUUUCCCUCCUCUGGCUGCUGACAGGAAAAAAGGACAGCACACAUCUCCGGUAUUUUCUCCAGCCCCGGCGCAACAACGCCACUCUGUUGCAGUUGGAGUCUGUGUGUGUGUGUGUGUGUGUGUGUGUGUGCGUGCGUGCGUGCGUGCGCGCGCGUGUCUGUGUUUAUUUUUUAUUUAUUUUUUUCAUUUCCUCCUGUAUACAGGUUGCCCCGCGGGUUAAUUAUCAAAAAAUAUUUUAUCACCUAAAUAAAUUUUUUAAAAUGUAAUAAAAAAAGAAGAAAACAGAAAAGCACGAGACGUUGGGUGGAAAGAAUGAUGGGUGAUUUAUUUGGAUUGUUUCCCUGUAAAUCAGAUCUGCACACCUCCACCCCCCACCCCCAUCACCUGCCUUCCUUUACUGUCAGUAAUAAACACAUCACGGCAAAUGUCUCACUUCAAAGUCCAAAAUCAGCUUGUAUUUGUCGUUUGUUUUUUAAUAUAAAAAUAAAAAUAAAUCUGCAGUUUCCUGGUCAUCUGA